rnacentral:rRNA from 1 species
GAUGAACGCUGGCGGCGUGCCUAAUACAUGCAAGUCGAGCGAACAGACGAGGAGCUUGCUCCUCUGACGUUAGCGGCGGACGGGUGAGUAACACGUGGAUAACCUACCUAUAAGACUGGGAUAACUUCGGGAAACCGGAGCUAAUACCGGAUAAUAUAUUGAACCGCAUGGUUCAAUAGUGAAAGACGGUUUUGCUGUCACUUAUAGAUGGAUCCGCGCCGCAUUAGCUAGUUGGUAGGGUAACGGCUUACCAAGGCAACGAUGCGUAGCCGACCUGAGAGGGUGAUCAGCCACACUGGAACUGAGACACGGUCCAGACUCCUACGGGAGGCAGCAGUAGGGAAUCUUCCGCAAUGGGCGAAAGCCUGACGGAGCAACGCCGCGUGAGUGAUGAAGGUCUUCGGAUCGUAAAACUCUGUUAUUAGGGAAGAACAAAUGUGUAAGUAACUAUGCACGUCUUGACGGUACCUAAUCAGAAAGCCACGGCUAACUACGUG